UCUUGCAAACCAAAGCUGGCGACCGGCGCACGGGUGAGUAACACGUAUCCAACCUGCCGAUAACUCGGGGAUAGCCUUUCGAAAGAAAGAUUAAUAUCCGAUAGUAUAUUAAAACCGCAUGGUUUUACUAUUAAAGAAUUUCGGUUAUCGAUGGGGAUGCGUUCCAUUAGUUUGUUGGCGGGGUAACGGCCCACCAAGACUACGAUGGAUAGGGGUUCUGAGAGGAAGGUCCCCCACAUUGGAACUGAGACACGGUCCAA
rnacentral:rRNA from 1 species